AUUGAACGCUGGCGGCAGGCCUAACACAUGCAAGUCGAGCGAGCGGCGGACGGGUGAGUAAUGUCCGGGAAACUGCCUGCUGGAGGGGGAUAACGACUGGAAACGGUAGCUAAUACCGCAUAACAUCAGAUGUGCCCAGAUGGGAUUAGCUAGUAGGUGGGGUAACGGCCUACCUGGGCGACGAUCCCUAGCUGGUCUGAGAGGAUGACCAGCCACACUGGAACGGAGACACGGUCCAGACUCCUACGGGAGGCAGCAGUGGGGAAUAGUGCACAAUGGGCGCAAGCCUGAUGCAGCCAUGCCGCGUGUGUGAAGAAGGCCUUAGGGUUGUAAAGCACUUUCAGCGGGGAGGCGUUACCCGCAGAAGAAGCACCGGCUAACUCCGUGCCAGCAGCCGCGGUAAUUC
rnacentral:rRNA from 1 species